rnacentral:tRNA from 1 species
GCAGCAGUGGCAGAGUCUGGUCGAUUGCGGCUGCCUGUAGAGCAGUUGUCCCUGGGGACUUCGGUGGUUCGAAUCCAUCCUGCUGCA